UACAGAGGUCCCAAGCGUUGUUCGGAUUCACUGGGUUUAAAGGGUGCGUAGGUGGGUUGGUAAGUCAGUGGUGAAAUCUCCGUGCUUAACAUGGAAACUGCCAUUGAUACUACUGAUCUUGAAUUUUCUGGAGGUAAGCGGAAUAUGUCAUGUAGCGGUGAAAUGCUUAGAUAUGACAUAGAACACCAAUUGCGAAGGCGGCUUGCUAAACAAAUAUUGACGCUGAGGCACGAAAGCGUGGGGAUCAAACAGG
rnacentral:rRNA from 1 species